GCCAACAAAACAUAUAACUGUGAAAAUUUAGGUCUCAGUGAAAUUCCUGACACCCUACCAAACACAACAGAAUUUUUGGAAUUCAGCUUUAAUUUCUUGCCUACAAUUCAAAAUACAACUUUCAGCAGACUCAUAGAUCUUACUUUUUUGGAUUUAACCAGGUAUGUAUCUGAGUUCCUGUGUACUCUUGAUGUUUUACUUAAGAAGAAACAAAAUUUGCAUUUGAAUUGUCCCCAGGAUCUUCUUUUGGGGCACAGGGACACUCUGCUUAUUCUGUAUUUUCAUUUACUCCUUCAUCUGAAAUACUUUAAUGCAAGUGAAGUGUAAUUUAAAUAAACAACAAUCAAUGGACAGGAAAGUGAGUUGUUUUCAAACUAGCUGCAUCAGCAGUACCAUUGAAGAAUUUCUAAGGAAUAUUAAAAAAAAGUGAAAAUAAAUUCUGCACUGAAUCAGACACCAUAUUAUACUAUAUUUUAACACAGUUGACUACUAUUAGGUGAAUCGCAUGUAACAAAAGUUAUGAGAAACACACAUACCUACUAAUUCUUUUUUUUUUUUAAAUUGAAAAAAGAGUUCCAUUAUUUGGCUUUAGAGGCAGAAUCAGGAUUCCAUAUCCUGAACAAAUGUUUGAGAACCAGUGGACAAAAGUAUUACAAGAAAGUAUGGGAGGAAAACAGAAGGGAUGUGCAGCUUGUGUGUGUGUGUGUGUGUGUGUGUGGAGUGGGGGAAGGGACCCCACAUGUUCAUGACUUCUGUACCUCUUGCAGUAGUUCAAUGACUUCCACUUGUGUCUUUCCACUUGAGUUUCUGCAAAGUGGAAGAAAGCACACACCCAUAGCACUGUUUCAUCUUUACAAUCACCUCUGUGGGGUGCCAAUUAAUAUUACCACCCAUUUCUGCAGUUAGAUGCAGAAACUAUCAGUGUGUGUGUGUGUGUGUGUGUGUGUGUGUAAGUGUGUGUGUUUAAUCCAGUACUUUAAGAUGCAGUACCAGGAUGGAUUUCUCUUAACUUCUAGCAUUCUGUAGUUCAAUGGAGCAUUUUUACAUACAUCAUUUGACAUACAAUAAUUCUACAAAAUAGUCAUUAUUUUUGUAUUUCAUAGAUGAAAGAGGAAGGCUGAGUGUGGCAUGUAGCACAUGCCUAGCAUGUGUAAGGGCAUACGCUCAAUCCCCAGCAACUCUUUCUUCCCCCCAAAUAGGCUUUAACUUGCCAAGGAUGCCAAGGAUAAAUACAUACCAUGUAUUAUCUAUUAUACAUUACAUAUGGCAUAUUUUAUAUUACUUAAUAUAAUAAAUCACAGUUUGGUUUUGCCUACAAAAAAAAUCAAACCACUAAUUGUUCCUUAGAAUACAAAUAUAAACCUCUGAGUGUUCUAUCUAAAUAGGAAAGACAGACAUCUGGAAUAAAUUCCAAAUCAGAGCUUUCAGUACUAGGGCUAUUCAUUAAUUAUCUUGACAGACCAUCUGUGGGUAUGGAAGAAAGUUUUUUGUGUUGGAUAACAUAUAGUGUUUUAUGGUAUACAAAAGAUGGCUUUGGGAAUGUGGUGACAGCAUUUUCCCUUUUUUUUUCUAAUUAAUCAUUGUUAAAUACAAUUAUCUUUUCAAGGUGCCAGAUUAACUGGAUACAUGAUGACACUUUUCAAAGCCAUCAUCAGUUGAGCACACUGAUAUUAACUGGAAACCCUCUGAUAUUUAUGGCAGAAACAGCAUUUAACGGGCCCAAGUCGCUGAAGCAUUUGUUCUUAAUUCAAACAGGAAUAUCCAGUCUUGAGUUUAUCCCACCUCACAAUCUGGAAAACUUGGAAAGUUUGCAUCUGGGGAGCAACCAUAUUUCUUCCAUUAAGCUCCCAAAUGAUUUCCCAGCAGGGAAUCUGAAAGUCCUGGAUUUUCAGAAUAAUGCUAUACACUACCUUUCUAGAGAAGAUAUGAACUCUCUGAAGCAGGCCACCAACCUAAGUCUUAACUUCAAUAGCAAUGACAUUAAAGGUAUUGAGCCUGGGGCUUUCAGUUCACAAUUCUUCCAAAGCUUGAACUUUGGAGGGACUCGUGACUUGUCUGUCAUAUUCAGUGGUCUACGGAACUCUACUAUUCAAUCUCUCUGGUUGGGGACAUUUGAGGACAUUGAUAACCAAUAUCUAAGUUCAGCCACAUUUCAGGGUCUUUGUGACACAUCUGUUGAGAGCAUCAACCUGCAAAAGCAUCAUUUCUCUGACUUCUCCUCCACCACGUUUCGAUGCUUUGCCCAACUCCAGAAUCUGGAUCUAACGGCCACUCACCUGCAAGAAUUACCCUCUGGGAUUGAGGGUAUGAACUCACUCAAGAAAUUAGUUCUCAAUGUAAAUAAAUUUGACCAAUUGUGUCAAAUCAAUGCUGCCAAUUUCCCCUCCCUUACACACCUCUAUAUCAAAGGCAACAUGAAGAAGCUUCACCUCGGUACUGGCUGUUUAGAAAAACUAGAGAAUCUUCAGAAACUUGAUUUAAGCCAUAGCGGCAUAGAAGCUUCUGAUUGCUGCAAUCUGCAGCUCAAAAAUCUUCCCCACUUGCAAAGUCUAAACCUGAGCUACAAUGAGCUCAUUGGUUUUCAGAGGGAGGCGUUCCAAGCAUGUCCUCAGCUAGAGAUCUUGGAUUUGUCAUUUACCCACUUACAUGUGAGUGCACCACAAAGUCCUUUCCAAAACCUUCAUCACCUGAAGAUUCUGAAUCUCUCUCAUAGCUUCCUUGAUACCAGCAAUCAGCUUCUUCUAGCAGGCCUGCCAGACCUUCGGCAUCUGAACUUGCAGGGGAAUCGUUUUCAAGAUGGGAGUAUCCCGAAGAACAACCUACUUCAGACAGUGGGAAGCUUGGAGAUUCUGGUUUUAUCCUCCAGUGACCUCUUGUCCAUAGACCAGCAGGCUUUCCACAGCCUUGAUAAAAUGAGUCACGUAGACUUAAGUCACAAUAAUCUGACAUCAAAUAGCAUUGAUGCUCUUAGCCAUCUUAAGGGGAUCUACCUCAAUUUGGCGGCUAAUGCCAUUGGCAUUAUCUCACCCCAUCUCCUCUCCAUCUUGUCCCAGCAGAGCACUAUUAAUUUAAGUCACAAUCCCCUGGACUGCACGUGCUCAAAUAUUCACUUUUUAACAUGGUACAAAGAAAACCUGCAAAAACUUGAGGACUUGGAGGAGACUGUGUGUGCAAAUCCCCCAUCACUAAAGGGAGUUCAACUGUCUGAUGUCCGGCUGUCCUGUGGAAUUACCCCCGUGGGAAUUUUAUUUCUAACAGUAUUUUUCCUCUUGGUCUCCAUUCUACUCAUUUUCGCAAUUAAAUUCUUUCUCAGGUGGAAAUACCAACACAUUUAGUGCUGAAGGCUUCUAGAGAAGGCAAAUAGAACGUGUUUGGCACAACUGCCUUAACUGGAGAAAUAGUUGGAUGUGGAUAACCAGACUCUUCAGACCAGCUCCUGGUGUUGGGCUGGGAUUGACUGUGCUUUUUAAGUUUUUUACUUUUUACUUUUAUUUUGUUUUGUUUUGUUUUUGUUUUGUUUGUUUGUUUGUUUGUUUUGUUUUGUUUUUUUGAGCUUCUUACCCUGAUGAGUCCUUCCUGGCAGGUAAACUGACUGGGGCCAGAGGACCCUGCUAUGGGAGGUACCUUACCAUUUAUUUCCUCACAUGGAAGAUGACUGAAGUUGGGGAGGGAGCCUUGGCAAUGCCACCUGCCUUCCACUCACUGAGAGACCUCACAGAACCUCAUCCCUGGAAGGAGAUCACCAUCCCCAUAACUUGACAAUGCUGAGGCCAACCCUAUCCACUUGUACUUUCUCCCAUAUCUAAGUCAUUAUGCUUGAGUCAAAAUUCUCAAUAAUGUAGCCAUUUGGAAAACUUAGUCCAGGGAAAAGUCUCAUUGAAUAUUUUAAAUGAGAAAAAGAAUAAUGCAACCUGGGCAUGGUGAUGCACACAUGUAAUCCCAGUGGCCUGGGAGGCUGAGACAGGAGGAUGGUAAGUUUGAGUCCAGGCUCAGCAACUAAGCAAGACCCUGUCUCAAAAUAAGAAACAAAAAGGGCUGAGGAUGUUAAGUGGUUAAGUGCCCCAGGGUUCAAUCUCUGGUAUCAAAAAAUGAAACAAACUAAAACAAAAAAAGAAUUUAAAAGACUGAGAAAUGAAUUGUGCUUUCAAAUAGACUCCAUUAAUCUACUAGGUCCUUAGGUUUCUAGGUCUUGAUAAUGCCUCUGGAAUGAAAAUAACUACAAAAAAAAAAAAAAACAAACAAAACAAGCAAACAAAAACCAUUCCUUUACCCCUUAAUCCCUGAAGUCUAGGAUUUUAUUCACCUCCAUCCUUCACACCUUCACUGCCUGUCUGGUGUUCUGGCUUUUAUGUGGUAGAUCUCACUUAGUAAUGGGCUUCGGUCCAAAAUGCUCUUCUUGUCUAGGUGUCUAGUCCUCAGAAGCCUCUUUCCCAUGGAAUGGUGAGAUAAAUGGUGACUGGUUCCCAGACUGGUCCUCAAACAUCUAUUUAUCUCAGAGAGCUGCUUACAAUGAAAACUAGUGGAAGAAGCCAUCCCUACACACUAGCUGUUAGGAACACAGUAAAGCUGGCUUCAUGAUAGUUUCUGUUGAGGCUGAGGGUGUCAGUGAAGGUCAUGCCAGCAAUAGACACGGGACAGAGUCAUUGAGUACAAAUAGACAAAGAGGAUGAAGAAGCUGGCAGUGUCAACACUGAGACCUUCCCCAGGCCCAGUGAGUCCCAUUUAACUGGGCCUUGCCCUUCUGAGGCUGGAUUAUUGGACAAGCUUACUGGAGCUCUUGUACUCAGCUGCUGCAUUUAUAGCCCACUUCUUCCUCCUCCAUAUCCAUGGAUUCAAGCAACUGCAGAGGGACAAUGUUUGAAAAAAAAAAAAAAACCUCCAAGUGUACAGAAUAUGCACAGAAAAUUUUCAUGUCAUUGUUCCCUAAGCAAUAUAGCACAACAAUUGUUUACAUAGUACUAAUAUUGUUUGGGAUAUUUAUAAGUAAUGUAGAGAUUAUUUAAAGUGUAUGGGAAGAUGCGUGUAGGUUAUCUGAAAAUACUGUGCCAUUUUAUAUAAGGAACUCGAGUAUCUGGGAAUUCUGGAAUCUGUGAGAGGUCCUGGAACCAAUUCUCUAUAGAAACCAAAGGGUGACUACAUAAGGGCUCGAUUAAGUUCUACUAUCAAUUUUUAGGUCAAAGAGAGUAUCAUUCUGAAAUUCUGCUUGGAUAUCAAAGUAAAAGUUGAUCAAUUUUAAUAUCCAAUCUGAAAUUUUUUGCCCUUAGACUAAAGGCAUAAUAGUGGACAUGAUCAUGGAAUGUGGGAAUUCAUCCUCUUUGCCUCUUCUUCAUUCCCUGGAAAAGCUGGACAGGAAGGGAACAGCAAUGGAAGAACCUCUUGGGGGCUCAGGAAUUACAGGCUUUCUUGCUUGUUCCUUUUUGCCUGGAAGAUGCUGCGGGCAUCUCCCGAUGACUGGUUCCCUCCCAUCCCUGAGAUCUCAGUGCUGGUAUCCACUCCUCUGAGGGAGCUCUUCCUUGACCUGGCCAGUCCAAACCAAAUUAGGCCACACCCAAUGCUCUCACUAGCACCUCCAUCAUCUUUAUUGUUAAUCAGCUAUAGGAUUAUCCUCCUCAUUUUGUUUUAAUUUGUCUAGCUUGUCUUUUUUACCCCCAAAUGUAAGCUGCACAUGAGGGUCUUUACCCAAUGGUGUCCUACAAGUGCCUGGGACAAAAUAAGGACUCGAUAUAUUUUCAGUAAUUGCUGACAUUUGCUGGCCUUCUGACCCCUAAACCCUUAUCAGCACCUACUUCCAUCCCCAUGACCAGACAUACCAACCUUUAGCUUCAGUUGACAUCUCCAAUAUUUCCUAUGCCUCCCACAUAUUUCUCACCAGAAUAACCUAGGGCAACCUAGGAUAAGAAGUGGAUUCUUGUGCCUUGCCUCCAGAUGUUGAGAUUCUGUCAGACUAAGAUUAGCCCUGGAUUCCCAGCCAAAUGACUGACUCCAGUAAAAUCCAUUUUUAUUCUUAAUGAUACAUGUAUCCCUCUUACUUCUCUCAUCUUGUGAUAUUUGACUUCAAAUGCAUUUCUCCCACGGAAGAUCCAUAUUCUAAGAAUUUGGUCUUAGACAACACCAACCCAUUAGUUUCCUAGGUAUUCUGUCAAUGUGAUCUCCUUCCUGUCCUAGGGCUUUAAGCUGCAGAUGGGAAAUAUUAAUUGUUGACCUACCACCCCUUAGCCAUACUCUUCACUAUAAUAUUUAAUGGGUAACUUGAAAAAACAAAACUAUUCUGUAGAAAAAACUCUGAUGCAGGUUGCAUUACAUUAAAGGUAGCAAAGUUUCACAUGUUAGAAAGGCAUAAUUGUUCAUCCUGCUUUCAUUGAUCACCAUGCUCCCUCCCAUAUGAUACAACUAGCUGCUCCAUAACUGCACACUGAUCUAAGGCUUUGUGACAGUUCCUCUGUUUCAAGCAACAGUAAAUUCACCUCCAAAAAGUCAGAAAGGGAGUUUUUUGAUGGCUGCUGUCAAUUUUAUUGCUUUAUCUGGUUACUAGGAUAGAAUCUGUAGACAUAGUGUGUUUAUUGGUUUUAUGUAUUGUGUGUUGUUGCUGCUCUGACAAGCUACUCCUAUAAAAAUGUGUUAUUAUUGCAUGAUGUAGCUCAGUGAGCUGACCCUGCAUUUCAAAGUGUACUGAAGCAAAUAGCAUUGAAGUCCAUAAAAGCUGACUGGCCUCCAUCACAGAGGAUUCUCUGCGUGAGCUGCAACUCCUACAAUCUGAGGAAGAAUUAUACCUUUCCCUGUGCCAGCAGCCACUGCUAUUAACUGAGCACAGCACAACCUCAAACACAGGCAUUAUCUGAAAAUUUUCAAAACAGGAAACUCUUAAGUCAUUCUUACUUGUCCAACUCUCUGAUAAACGUUGAUUGCAAUUUUGAAAUUUACAAAAGUAUACAACUGGCUUUUUAAUGUUUUCUUUUGUUAGUAUAGAAUACAAGAGGGGUAACUGACAAUGUUUUCUUUCUGCUCAGAAUGUUGAAGAGCUUUGCUGUUUAAUCUUUCAUGAGCAGUAACAGCUUUUAAAUACAAUCUGUAUUUAAUUAAUUCUUUCUUUUUAAAAUCUUAUCAGAUCAAUAACUGAUUUCAAAACAUUAGCUGGUUAGCUCUAAGCAGAAAAGACUGGGGAGUCAAUGGCCUGAUGUGUUAAGAAUCUGAAUUCUAGGCCAGGUGUGAUAGCACACACCUAUAACCCCAGUUGUUCAGGAGGCUGAGGCCAGAGGAUCACAAGUCCAAGGCCAAUCUGGGUAACUUAAUGAGACCCUGUCUUAAAAUAAAAUAAAAGAGCCUUGAGGUUUAGCUCAAUGGUAGAACACUUUCCUACUAUGCCCAAGGCCUUGGAUUCAAUCCCCAGAAUGGGGAGGGGAAAAAGAGCACAAUUUGCCCAACAUAGCAGGAGGUAGCCUGCAGGCCAUAGGGAGAUGGAUUAGCUCAGUGUGGCUCCCAAGCCCAACUGAUUAUCAGAAUGACCUGG
rnacentral:lncRNA from 1 species